rnacentral:tRNA from 3 species
GCGGGCGUAGUUCAAUGGUAGAACUUCAGCCUUCCAAGCUGAUAGCGUGGGUUCGAUUCCCAUCGCCCGCUCCA